CUUUCACCGGAGCUUGCUCCACCGAAAGAAAAAGAGUGGCGAACGGGUGAGUAACACGUGGGUAACCUGCCCAUCAGAAGGGGAUAACACUUGGAAACAGGUGCUAAUACCGUAUAACACUAUUUUCCGCAUGGAAGAAAGUUGAAAGGCGCUUUUGCGUCACUGAUGGAUGGACCCGCGGUGCAUUAGCUAGUUGGUGAGGUAACGGCUCACCAAGGCAACGAUGCAUAGCCGACCUGAGAGGGUGAUCGGCCACACUGGGACUGAGACACGGCCCAGACUCCUACGGGAGGCAGCAGUAGGGAAUCUUCGGCAAUGGACGAAAGUCUGACCGAGCAACGCCGCGUGAGUGAAGAAGGUUUUCGGAUCGUAAAACUCUGUUGUUAGAGAAGAACAAGGAUGAGAGUAAAAUGUUCAUCCCUUGACGGUAUCUAACCAGAAAGCCACGGCUAACUACGUGCCAGCAGCCGCGGUAAUACGUAGGUGGCAAGCGUUGUCCGGAUUUAUUGGGCGUAAAGCGAGCGCAGGCGGUUUCUUAAGUCUGAUGUGAAAGCCCCCGGCUCAACCGAGGAGGGUCAUUGGAAACUGGGAGACUUGAGUGCAGAAGAGGAGAGUGGAAUUCCAUGUGUAGCGGUGAAAUGCGUAGAUAUAUGGAGGAACACCAGUGGCGAAGGCGGCUCUCUGGUCUGU
rnacentral:rRNA from 1 species